rnacentral:lncRNA from 1 species
CGAAGAAGAAACUGCCUGGGCUUCAGUUUAGUGAACUACAAUACGUAAACGAUAUGUAAACAGUUAUCAUUUAAUAAGGAAAUAAUCCCUAUUUGAGGAAAGAGACAGUUGUAAAACGCUUGCUUAACAUCAUGGGCAAGCGCAAGAGAAACCUGGACAUCCCAGACGAUGUGAAAGACUUUGGCAUCUGCCAGAACGUCCACACCUGCCACAAAGUCCUGGGGAAAAUGUGGCGACAGUUUCCUGGACACUCCCGUCAUCCAGGUGCCUUAAACUAGAUGGACGUAAUGCUGUCUGUCUGUUACACAGAUGCUCUGAGCGUCAUCUGUUUGUGUUUCAGAAGCUGCAAACAUCAGAGAAGAAGAGCAGAAGCACGCGUAAAGUGGCUCUGAGGUCUGUUACUGCGAAUAGAGAUGCUGGCACAGAUGAUCCGGUUCACAUUGCCUGGAGCUCCAGUGAAGAGGAAGAAUCAGACAGUGAUAGUCAUCCUCCUCCUCGACUGAAUGUCACACAGGCACCACAGCCGCCCAGAGCACACAAACAACAUCUUGUUGACUAUUACAGAUGUCUGCGGUUGUUCAGCACUGGUGUAGGUGAGAACAGAGACAUUUAUUGGUAGUUAUGUGGAUGAAUCGUUCAG